rnacentral:rRNA from 1 species
UACGUAGGGUGCGAGCGUUGUCCGGAUUUAUUGGGCGUAAAGAGCGUGUAGGCGGCCAUGUAGGUCCGUUGUGAAAACUCGAGGCUUAACCUCGAGAUGUCGGCGGAAACCAUCUGGCUAGAGUCCGGAAGAGGAGAGUGGAAUUCCUGGUGUAGCGGUGAAAUGCGCAGAUAUCAGGAAGAACACCCGUGGCGAAGGCGGCUCUCUGGGACGGUACUGACGCUGAGACGCGAAAGCGUGGGAGCGAACAGG